AUGGCUUUGGCGAUCCCAGAUGUUUUCAAGAACACAGUACAUAAGUUGUGUCGCUGGAACAUUAUGAAGAAGUAUAGGGAACACCUCGCGUACCUGUACGACUUCCACAAAACCUUUAAGGAUGAAUUCACAGCAAUCCUCAACUGGCCCCUCAUGCCAACUGAGUUUGAGACUGCCUGGAAAGAUCUCAUGGAUAGAAUGACAUCGACACAACGGAGUGAGAGCAUGAACUAUGUGCUGAAGAAGAACUACGUAUGUGAGAGACAAAACCUGCACCGGUUUGUCAGCCAGAAUAAAACAAACACACUGACCCUCUAUGGGUUCAACACUCAGAUGGCAAAAGUUUACUCACGAGCUGUGUACAGCGAGAUCAGAAAAAGGCUAAAGCUGAGUACCCUCUUCACGUUGACGGACAUGGAAGAUCCCACAAAGUACCUUGUACGCUACAACAAACCGCAAACAUCGUCUGCAUGGUCUCAACACGUGUUCCAGGUGGUUGUAGACCCCGUGGGAGAAAUAUACAACUGCGAGUGCAAGCUCUAG
rnacentral:rRNA from 1 species